rnacentral:rRNA from 1 species
CAAUAGCGUAUAUUAAAGUUGUUGCAGUUAAAAAGCUCGUAGUUGGACCUUGGACCUGGACAGGCGGUCCGCCUCACGGCGAGUACUGUCUUGCUGGGUCUUUCCUCUUGGUGAUCUGUUGUUUCGGCAGCAGGGAACCAGGACCUUUACUUUGAAAAAAUUAGAGUGUUCAAAGCAGGCUCGACGCCGGAGUAUAUUAGCAUGGAAUAAUAAAAUAGGACGUGCGGUUCUAUUUUGUUGGUCUUUGGAAUCGCCGUAAUGAUUAAUAGGGACAGUCGGGGGCAUUAGUACUCACAUGCUAGAGGUGAAAUUCUUGGAUUUUGUGAAGACCAACUUCUGCGAAANCANNNGCCAAGGAUGUUUUCAUNAA